AUGUCUGCACCUUCCCCUCAGUUGUUUUGUGAAUCUAAAACUGUUCUUGAAAAGUUUGUUAUUUAAAACAAUUUUUUUAAUGUUUAUUUUUGAGAGGGACAGAGUACGAGCGAGGGAGGGGCAAGAGACACAGGGAGACACGGAAUCCCAAGCAGGCUCCAGGCUCUGAGCCAUCAGCACAGAGCCCCACGCCGGGCUCCAACCCACAAACCGUGAGAUCGUGACCUGAGCCGAAGUCUGAUGCUCAACCAACGGAGCCACCCAGGCACCCCCUGAAAAGUUUAUUUGUUAAAAAAUUUGUGCAUUUUUGCUCUUGUUCUUGGCACUCUGCCACCGCCGCGGGACAACUCCAUUAAAGGAUAAAAGACCCUGUGCUACAGAGAUGAGUCAUCACGGCUGAGGCCAUCCUUGACUGGCGAGCCCUCCACAGGCUGCAGAGGCCCAGGCAGGUCCAGAUGAGGUUGGCCAGGCUCGGUCUAGAUCUGCAGAACCACCCCUCCGCCCCCGACUCCCAGGUCCGUGAAAAAUAAUGCAUGGUGCCGCUUUUAAGCGGUCGCUUCAGUCCUCCAUCACUGCAUGACAAGCCACCCCAAAACCAAAACCCAAAAGCAACCUCCAUUUACUAUUUCUCAUGAAUCUGAGUCAGCUGGGCACCGGCUAGUGUCACUCACCUGGCUGCAACCAGCCAGCUGCUGGAAGGUCUGAGAAGGCUUCACUCACACAUCUGUGCCCCAUGUCUCUUUCCAUGUGGCUUCCAAAGCAUGUGGUCUUUUCAGCAAGGGGGUCAGACUCCUUACACGGCAGCUGGCGUCCAGGAGGGGGGAACUGGAACUUUGGUACUGAGCGUGGAAGUUCUAGAAUGCUACUUCUGCUUCAUUCUAUUGGUUACAGCAGUCACAGGAGCAACUGGGUUCAAGGGGAGGGGAAAUACACCCUACAUUUUGCAGGGCAGCGUGCACGUACAGGGAUAAAGCGGCCUGGUCGCAGCCAUUUUGGGAACUUGAACUUCUCGCGCCCUCUGCUAGAAGGCUCCUAACCCCCAGGCUGUAAGAUUCUGUUCAGGUGUACCUCCACUGCUCAGUCAUCUCCUCCAAGAGCAUUUCUCUGACCAUUGUACUCCAAGAUUUACGAUAUGCUGAAUUUCUGCAAAGACACGAAUUCUUUUUCACGGUAAAAACAGAGUUAAUUUUCACAAAAAGACUUAUGUUGGUAUGCCAUAUGAAAUGUCAGUCGGUCCACUGCUGCAGGCAUGUGGCAGGUUGUAUUCUCUGGGUCUGUGUAUUAAACCGCUUAAGAAUUUCGCAGUUUGUGAGUUUGAGCCCCGCGUCAGGUUCUGUGCUGACAGCUCAGAGCCUGGAGCCUGCUUCAGAUUUGUGUCUCCCUCUUUCUCUGUCCCUCCCCUGCUCGUGCUCUCUCUCUCUCUCUCUCUCUCAAAAAUAAAUAAGCAUAAAAAAACAUUAACACCACUUAGGAAAUCAGAAGUCAUCUGACGUUGUUCAGGAAGAACCCUCAGCACCGGGUGUCUCAGCACCGUGUGCCUUAGCUUGUGAAUGCAUGGGCAGGUCCUGCUGAAAGCCCCCUGGGGGGUGUGACAAGUCUCAUUCCAACAGGGGCCAUGUGCCAUGUGACUGGCCACCCGCCUCUUUAUCUCUAGUUCCUUAAGUGAGGAGUUCUGUUUGGCUAUAGACCUUGACACUGUGGAGGUCAGCCAAGGUCAGUGCUCCAGUAAGAAUGACUCACACCCUGCUCUGUGCUCUCCGCUGGGCACAGGCUUAGAGUACCAUGAACACCAUGAUUUUCCGGACUUAGCUCCCAAGAGGUGAGGCUCAUUCCCUGAGACACUGAUCUAUGAAAAAAAAAUCCCCAAAGCAGCCACCCAAGGUGUAUCUGGCAUUUAGGGGAAAAAUAGAAGCUUCUAUUCUCUGAUCCUAUCCAGUGGGGUUCUAAUUCAAACUUGACUAUCCAGUGUGAACAUGCUUUUCAGGCUUGUCUGAAGAAGGACAAUCAUUAUGAUUUCAAAAAAAGUAUUGUGGAAGAUUGCAAACACACACACAGGUAUUAACAAUAAUACAAUUUGGGCGCUGGGUGGCUCAGUUGGUUAAGCGUCUGACUUCGGCUCAGGGCAUAUCUCGCAAUUCGUGGGUUCAAGUCCCCCUGUCAGCUGUGCUGACAGCUCAGAGCCUGGAGCCUGCUUUGGAUUCUGUGUCUCCCUCUCUCUCUGCCCCUCCCCCACUUGUGCUCUGUCUCUCUCUCAACAAUAAAUAAACAUUAAAAAGAAUUUUAAAAAAACAAUGAUCAAUAAACAAUUGCAAUAGCAAGACCAAACUUAGC